GACGUGAAGAUGAGUAUCUUGUAAAGAGGGAUAGGAGAAUUGGAGGGCAAGUUUGGUGCCAGCAGCCGCGGUAAUACCGACUCCAAGAGUGUGUAUGAGAGAUGCUGCAGUUAAAAAGUCCGUAGUCAUAGAAGGGCAAAGAGAGAUGCGAGGUCUCACAGUGCGAUGAUGGAGGAGCCGAUGGGGAACAUAGUAUACCAGGGCGAGAGAUGAAAUGCCAAGACCCCUGGUGGACUGAGCGAGGCGAAGGCGAUGUUCUUGUAGGCAUUCGGUGAUCAAGGACGAAGGCUGGAGUAUCGAAAGUGAUUAGAUACCGCAGUAGUUCCAGCAGUAAAAGAUGCCGACAUGCUCAUUGGACACAGUGGGCAGGGAGAAAUCUUAGAGUUCGGGCUCUGGGGAUAGUAUGCUCGCAAGGGUGAAAAUUAAAGAAAUUGACGGAGCUACACCACAAGGAGUGGAUUGUGCGGCUUAAUUUGACUCAACGCGAGGAAACUUACCAGGGCCAAGUAUUGUGUAGAAACGAGCAAUACAGGAGUGGUGCAUGGUCGUUGGAAAUUGAUGGGAUGACUUUGACCUUAAAUGGUUGAAUGAGUGAGAUCUUUUGGACAUGUUCCGCACGGAACAGGAAGGAAAAGGCUAUAACAGAUCCGAGAUGCCCUCAGAUGCCCUGGGCUGCACGCGCAAUACAAUAGCAGGUAGAGAGAGAGACAGGAAGGUGCUCAGAUGGACUAUGUGCUGUAAGGCACAUACGAAAGAGGAAUUCCUAGUAAGUGUGUAUCAACAAUG
rnacentral:rRNA from 1 species